GGAGGAAAAGAAACUAACAAGGAUUCCCUUAGUAACGGCGAAGUGAACCGGGAAAAGCUCAAAUUUGUAAUCUGGCUGUCUUCGAUAGUCCGAGUUGUAAUCUAUAGACGUGUUUUCCGUGCUGGACCGUAUCUAAGUCCCUUGGAACAGGGUAUCAAAGAGGGUGACAAUCCCGUGCUUGAUACGACCACCAGUGCUCUGUGAUACACGCUCUACGAGUCGAGUUGUUUGGGAAUGCAGCUCAAAAUGGGUGGUAAAUUCCAUCUAAAGCUAAAUAUUGGCGAGAGACCGAUAGCGAACAAGUACCGUGAGGGAAAGAUGAAAAGCACUUUGGAAAGAGAGUUAAACAGUACGUGAAAUUGUUGAAAGGGAAACGAUUGAAGUCAGUCGUGUUCUUUGGAUUCAGCUAGUUCUUCUAGUCUACUUCCUUUGAACGGGUCAACAUCAGUUUUGUCCGGUGGAUAAAGAUAGUAGGAAUGUAGCUCCCUCGGGAGUGUUAUAGACUAUUAUUGCAUGCACUGGGUGAGACUGAGGACUGCAGCUCGCCUUUUGGCCGGCCUUCGGGUACGUUCGAGCUUAGGAUGUUGACAUAAUGGCUUUAAACGACCCGUC
rnacentral:rRNA from 1 species